rnacentral:lncRNA from 1 species
UCAGCCAGGGUUUCGGGUGAGCUCAUUGUGAAACCUGGCCCCACCUUGUCAUGCGAAUUCCUGAGGUCAGAUGGCCCAGGAUGUGGGCGCGCGCUGGACUGUUUGCCUUUCCUGGACUGCGCUGUGCACCUUGAAGAGAAUGGCAACCUCAACAUCGAAGUUUACCGGAAGCCCACACACACGGACCAGUACCUCCUCUUUGACUCCCAUCACCCUCUGGAACACAAACUUGGGGUAAUCAGGACCCUACACCAUCGGGCAGAACAUGUUCCCUCUAAGCCUGAGGGAAAAAAGAAGGAACACACACAUGUAAAGGAAGCACUCAAAACAUGUGGUUAUCCUAAUUGGGCGUUUAUAAAGUCAGCAAAGAGGCACAGAAAAGAAGAUCAGACACCAGCGAGGGAGGAUAAGAAAGACAGACGCAACAACAUUGUCAUCCCCUAUGUAGCCGGUGUAUCAGAAACACUCAGGAGAGUUUUCUCCAAGCACGACAUCCCAGUGUACUUCAGACCCAGCAACACACUCAGACACAAACUGGUUCACCUGAAAGACAAAACUCCAAAACACAGACUUAACAACGUGGUGUAUGCUGUACAGUGCAGCGAGGAAUGCCCAGACCUCUACAUCGGAGAGACCAAACAGCCACUUCACAAGCGCAUGGCACAACAUAGAAGAGCCACCUCCACAGGACAAGACUCAGCAGUCCACCUGCAUCUAAAGGACAAAGGUCACUCUUUCGAGGAUGCCAAUGUUCACAUUUUGGACAGAGAGGACAGAUGGUUUGAAAGAGGAGUGAAAGAGGCCAUCUAUGUCCCCUGUGAGCGACCAUCUUUGAACAGAGGCGGUGGUUUACGACACCAACUGUCUGCCAUCUAUAAUCCAGUUUUGAGUUCCCUCCCCAGACGCCUUAACGCCCACCCACAUCCUGGGCCAUCUGACCUCAGGAAAUCACAUGAUAGGGUGGGGCCAGGUUUCACAAUGAGCUCACCCGAAACUCUGGCUGAUUGUGACCCACACCCGCUUUCACACCUUGGCUCAGGUGAUUAG